GACGAACGCUGGUGGCGCGCUUAACACAUGCAAGUCGAGCGAGAACCUGGGCUUCGGCCCAGGGGACAGCGGCGAACGGGUGAGUAACACGUGGAUAACCUGCCCUCGGCACCGGGAUAGCCCGGGGAAACUCGGAUUAAUACCGGAUGGCCCUUCCGGCUCUCGAGCCGGUCGGAAAAGGUAGCUUCGGCCUCCGGCCGAGGAUGGGUCCGCGGCGGAUUAGCUUGUUGGUGGGGUAAUGGCCUACCAAGGCUCCGAUCCGUAGCUGGUCUGAGAGGACGAUCAGCCACACUGGGACUGAGACACGGCCCAGACUCCUACGGGAGGCAGCAGUGGGGAAUCUUGCGCAAUGGGCGAAAGCCUGACGCAGCGACGCCGCGUGAGGGAGGAAGGCCUUCGGGUUGUAAACCUCUUUCAGGAGGGACGAAGCUACUCGGGUGAAUAGCCCAGAGGGUGACGGUACCUCCAGAAGAAGCCCCGGCUAACUACGUGCCAGCCGCCGCCGUAAAAC
rnacentral:rRNA from 1 species